ACACAGCUAUACUGCUUUAAGUCUAUGGCAGAAUGUUUGGUUGAAUAACUAAAAUGCUAUUUUAAAAUACUACUUGCUUAAGUAGAGUAAUGAAGCCCUGGUAGUCCAUACAAAGUGAGGAAGGUUUUGAAAUUACUUGUUGCUUCCAACACCUGUGAACCAAGAUAGGUAAAUCUGGCAUCGCGUGUAGACUAGUAGACUGUGCCCAUAAUCAGAGGUAAACAAAUGAAGCAACAAAUCAAAAAGCAGAACUGGUGGCUGGAGAGAGCUCCAUGUAGCCCAUCUACUAACAGUACAUGUGUCACUUGGCUUUCAGAAUUAUUAAAGAAUCACAGUUCUCCAGCCAGUUCAUGUUAGUGCAUGCUAACAGUAGUCCAUCCACUUCAGUACUGUUUCCUGUACAGUAGUGUCCACUACUAGAAACAACUAUAAAACAAGUAGACCUAACGGAUCUUCAAACUUUACUAAGCACAAGCUUCAAAGCAUGAGAGAAAUAUAACUUUCAGCUUUUCCAACAAUUCACUGAUCUCCAUUCUAUUUUCUUGAUAAAAGGGAGAGUAAACAGAAACAUAAAUAUUUAUUUAUGACUUUACAUUCAUGUUUGUGCCAUAUCAUACGGUUCUUCCUUUGGAUGAUAACGUAUGCAUUUUUUUUUCCCCUAGUAGCAAUAAGUCACCAAUCUGGCAAACCCCUUGUUUCUACGGCACGCUUUCUGUGAUAGUCCUGCACCUUCAGGAACUUUUGCAUCCUCUGAGUUCCACUUGCAUCCAAGUCUUCUCUGCUGACAGCAUAGAUGUAAGUGCACGCCACCAAAAUAGAGGAAGACAGAAAGGAUUGCAUUUCUCAGCAUGUUGACAAGACAGGCAGAAGGAGAGGGAGAAUAGUCACCAGAUUUGACUCGAAGGUACAUUUCUGUCCCAUUAGAAUACUGUAAUUCAGCGUUUUGGGUGUUGCAUACUGUGCUGCUUUUCAUCUACUGAACUAAGAAAACUAUUAUAUUGUUGUGCGUUCUACAUCUAUUCUGUUUCUCACGUCUGUUGUAAAUUAUUUUU
ensembl:lncRNA